CCCCUCUCUGCACACAGAGGACAGGGUUUGGGCUCGACGGGUGAUCUGUGGAGACCUGGAGAUGCUCCUGAGUCAUGCUCGGAAUGGGCGAAGGUGAAAUUCCUCUCGGAGGUAAAAAUACCACUAGGGACACGUAGCUGCAGGUGAAAGUUCACCCUGCCACCCACCCAUCACCUACGGAUCCUCCUCCCAAAGACGGAACGGAACAAAAACAAAGGGCAAGACAGACGCCACGACUGAAUGACGCUACUGUAGCAGCUCAGAGGCAGCGGUGUGUGGAGCCUGCCCCCUCGGGUCCAUCACAGAGGCUCGGGCUCCCAUGGCAACGCAAACUGUGGCCAAAGCUGAGGGUGGACAUGUGGAGAUUUCAUCGCAGAUUACAGGAAGGGCCAUGAGGGGCUCAUCGUGUUGAAAGGAGCCAAGCGAUAAUCACACAUGUGCAUCACUUGAAUUACACUGAAGCAAAUGACUCCGGAUGAAUAUCAGAGCACAAAAAAAAUAAUAACACAGACGGCAAAUCUG